AACCGCCAUUUCCUCCGUGUUCUUUCUCCGCGCGUUUCGCGGAGCUCUCGGCAGCGCCAUGUUGGCACAGAGCAUCCGGAGGUUCACAACCUCUGUGGUCCGUAGGAGCCACUAUGAGGAGGGCCCGGGGAAGAAUUUGCCGUUUUCUGUGGAAAAUAAUGAUGCUAUGAUGCUAUGAUGACUGUGUACUUUGGAUCUGGAUUUGCUGCACCUUUCUUCAUUGUAAGACACCAAUUGCUUAAGAAGUAAAGAUGUUUUAAUUCAUCCUUUAACAGA